rnacentral:rRNA from 1 species
UACGUAGGGGGCAAGCGUUGUCCGGAUUUAUUGGGCGUAAAGAGCGUGUAGGCGGCCAUACAGGUCAGCUGUGAAAACUCGAGGCUCAACCUCGAGACGUCGGUUGAAACCGUAUGGCUAGAGUCCGGAAGAGGAGAGUGGAAUUCCCGGUGUAGCGGUGAAAUGCGCAGAUAUCGGGAAGAACACCCGUGGCGAAGGCGGCUCUCUGGGACGGUACUGACGGCGUGAGACGGCGAAAAGCGUUGGGGAGCGAACAGG